CAGCACAGGUUCCACUCAGAACUGUCAUGAUUCUGGGGUGUUUGUCUGCGCCGUCUUUGUCUGUCUGCUGCUCAAGUCAUAAUGAUGGCUGCCUUCACCUGCUCCUUUCCAACCAGCUCUUAAUCAUGCCUCAUCUGCUCCACCUGCACACCUGGCUUUAAAAGCAGCUCUCUGACUGACAAACAGCGCCAGAUUUUUGAAAGCUUUUGUCUUCUGCUUUCUGGACAUCAACCUUGUUUCUGCCUCCUGACCACCUCUCCCUGCCUAACCCCUGGAUGUGUUUGCCUGAAUCUGCUUCUCUGUGCAUGACCACCAUCACCACAUCCUGCCUAUCCACUGGGUUAAUAAACCUCAGAGCCUGUGUGGCACAUUCCAGCUGUUGCCCUGCCAACACUCUGAGGAGCUGAAAUUCAGCUUCCUGAUUCCUUUACAAAUCCUGAAAAGGUUCCUGAGUUGCCGCUGGUGGUUUCCUGCUGAACGUCAUCUGGAGUUUUUUUUUAAUCUUUUGAAUCUGAUCUGUUGUGUCUGGCUGAAAUUUCGGGUCCUCAGAACCUCCCGUUGCAAGAACAGGCAUUGUCAUGGUCAGCCAAAGUGCACAUGUUUAGUGUCACACCCAGAACUUUUAUUUUGAAAGGAGACGUGAGUGCUGCCAGCAUUAUUCCAGAGGUUGAAGGGGUCAGGGAUCAUCUUGUCAGUGGUCAGACCAUAAGCCACACUCUGCAUCAAAUUGGUUUGCAUGGCUGUCGUCCCACAAGGAUGCCUCUUCUAAAGAUGAAGCACAAGAAAGCCUGCAAACAGUUUGCUGAAGACAAGCAGACUAAGUACAUGGACUACUGGAACAAUGUUCUGUGGUUGGAUGAGACCAAGAUAAACUAUUUGGUUCAGAUGAUGUCAAGUGUGUGUUGGCCACCAGGUAAGUAGUGCAAAGGUGAGUCAUGGUUUGGAGCUGCAUGAAUGCUGCCGGCUAUGGGGAGCUACAGUUCAUUGAGGGAACCAUGAAUGCCAACAUGUACUGUGACAUCCUGAACUCAGAAAGAUCCCUUCCCCUCAGAAACUAGGCCACAGGGCAACAUGAUAAAGACCCCAAACACUCCUCCAAGACAACUACUGCCUUGCUGAAAAAAUGGAGAGUAAAGGGGCUGUACUGGUCAGAGAGCAUCUGUGAGGCAUCCUCAAAUGGAAGAUGGAGAAGCUCAAGGUCUCUAACAUCCACCAGCUCUGUGAUGUGGUCAUGGAGGAGUGGAAGAGGAUUCCAGUGGCAACCUGUGAAGCUCUACUGAACUCCAUUCCCAAGAGAGUUAAGGCAGUGCUGGAAAAUAAUGGUGGCCACACAAAAUAUCAACCCUUUUAGACAUUUCCAUUUAGGAGUGUACUCACUUUUGAGUGGUUUAGGUGUUAAUGGCUGUCUGCUGAGUAAUUUUAAGGGGAUGGCAUAUUUAGUUAUACAAGCUUUGUAUAACAAAGUGUCAUAUCUUCAGUGUUGUCCCAUUAAAAGAAAUUAGAAAAUAUUUACAAAACUGGGAGGAGAGUCCUUACUUUUGUGAGAUACUGGACAUUGUAUAAACCAUGAAUAGAGUGAUUGAAAGACAAGAAUACUUGUAAAAAGUAAUAACAUUUAAAUAUUCAGAUCAAGAAACCCACCGGACCAGUCAACCUAAAGUUGUGGGAAGUUCAAAGCAGGGUAGGUUAUAAAACAAUGUCCCGAAGUUCAAAAAUUACACAGAGCACUGUUCAAUCUAUCAUUAAACUUUUUUUUUUGACAUCAUUGAAUUUUUUAUGUUUUUUUAAACCUACCAAGACAAGGUAGUGCAAGCUAGGAAGGAUAUGUCCCAAUGUCCUAAUAACUAAUAUACCACUGUCAGCGAGCAAUGGCAUUACA